rnacentral:lncRNA from 1 species
CCGCAACUAACUCGGCUCGACUUAACUUACAAUUAUCUGUAUAAAGAACUACACACAAUCUGUCCAAAAUUAAGUCCUAAGAAAUUCAAAGUUAAAUCUCUAUGAGGAAGUCUUUAUCCAAUCAAAGUUCAACCUUUUUCUAGUUAAGCAAGCAUAUCCAUCCAAUGACAGAAAAUAUAUCAACAUAGAAAAGUCAAAUCAAAAAAUGAAUUAACUAAAAUCUCUAUAGAAAAAAACAAAGAUAAUUUCAACUUCGAUUGAAUUAG